AACGGCCGUACCAUGCUGAAUAUACCGUUUCUCGUUAGAUCACCGAAGUUAAGCAUCAUUGGGCGCGGUCAGUAUUUGGGUGGGUGACCACCUGGGAACACUGCGUGCCGUU
rnacentral:rRNA from 1 species